rnacentral:tRNA from 1 species
GCGAAAGUGGCGGAAUUGGCAUACGCGCUACCUUGAGGUGGUAGUGGGGGAAACUUCGUGGGGGUUCGAAUCCCCCCUUUCGCA